rnacentral:lncRNA from 1 species
AUGCCACGCUGCCUAGAGUUCAUCAUAAGGCAGAGAGAAAACUUCCUUUGCUAUGAUGCUAUGCAGCGAAUAUUUCGUCGAUGCCAUGUUGGGGAGGGGAAGAAAAAGGAAAUGUCAAUAAAUUUACCAGGUUCAAGAUGCUGCUUCUCCAAUGAAGUGGACUGAAAAUAUCCUCAAGGUAAUCUUUGAAAUGCAGCAGAUUGAGAACCUGGCCCAGACACCCAAGUGCUCAGCAUCUAUAUCACAGCCUGAGAGAAAUCAGCAGCACCGUGGGCCUGUUUUAUAAUGUGUUUAUUAGAAGCCAUCAUUUCUGAAGUACUUUUUCUGUUUUAGAUUGAUUAGAAUGUUUACCUAGUUUGUCUUUCCCAGUGAAAUUACAAUCUGUGGAGUAUGAAAGAAAGUUGUUGGCACAUCAGAAUAGUUCGGAAAAUGUUUUUCAAAGAUUGGAGCUGAGAACCAUUGGCCGAGAUCCUAAAUCGUGUCUGCAACUCAUACGUAAUUACUUAGUAGUUAUGCUACACCACCCUUCCGCUCAGUGCCAACAUUGUGUGGCUGUCUCUCUGCCAGUGUGUCUGCCAAUUAUCCCAUUUUACAAUGGAGGGUGCAUAAUGGCUGUUUCCACAAUCCCAUACUGAAGGCACUGGCAAAUAGUUGUGCUCCAUCCAAGAAUUUGCAACAACAUGGCCUGAAUCCUGUUGGUUAGUCCCCAGUUGGAGUAAACCCAUUGCCUGGAUUGCUGGAUGGUGAAUCAACACAUAUUUUCAUCCAAUCAAUUCAACAGCUCUACUCCAGUAGAUAAUUAUAGGAUUUGGAUCGUUGUAGAAAUCUCAGUUAUUUGAUCAGGAAAAUGAUAUGUCCAUCGGACAAAGUGCUCUUGCAUUCACAUGUCUAAGAACACUUAUCAACCUGCAUGAAAGCCAUGAGAUUCUAAACAUUAUCAGAACCCUAUGGUUUAGAGCCAAUCAGACUAA